CCUACGUGUGGCUGCAGUGGGGAAUAUUGCACAAUGGGGGAAACCCUGAUGCAGCGACGCCGCGUGAGUGAAGAAGUCUUUCGGUAUGUAAAGCUCUAUCAGCAUGGAAGAAAAUGACGGUACCUGAUUAAGAAGCCCCGGCUAACUACGUGCCAGCAGCCGCGGUAAUACGGAGGGGGCCAGCGUUAUCCGGAUUUACGGGGUGUAAUGGGAGAGUAGACGGCAGCACAAGUCUGGAGUGAAAGGCCGGGGCUUAACCCCGAAACUGCUUUGGAAACUGUACAGCUAGAGUGCAGGAGAGGUGAGUGGAAUUCCUAGUGUAGCGGUGAAAUGCGUAGAUAUUAGGAGGAACACCAGUGGCGAAGGCAGCUUACUGGACUGUAACUGACGUUGAGGCUCGAAAGCGUGGGGAGCAAACAGGAUUAGAUACCCGGGUGGUC
rnacentral:rRNA from 1 species